UACGAAGGGGGCGAGCGUUGUUCGGAAUUACUGGGCGUAAAGGGCGCGUAGGCGGCCGAGCAAGUUAGAUGUGAAAGUCCUGGGCUUAACCUGGGGACUGCAUUUGAUACUGCUUGGCUUGAAUUCGGGAGAGGAUAGCGGAAUUCCCAGUGUAGAGGUGAAAUUCGUAGAUAUUCGCAGGAACACCAGUGGCGAAGGCGGCUUACUGGUCCGGUUCUGACGCUGAGGCGCGAAAGCGUGGGGAGCAAACAGG
rnacentral:rRNA from 1 species